rnacentral:rRNA from 1 species
UACGAAGGGGACUAGCGUUGUUCGGAUUUACUGGGCGUAAAGAGCGCGUAGGCGGAUCGCUAAGUCAGGGGUGAAAUGCCGAGGCUCAACCUCGGAACUGCCUUUGAUACUGACGAUCUGGAGAUUGGGAGAGGUGAGUGGAAUUCCGAGUGUAGAGGUGAAAUUCGUAGAUAUUCGGAGGAACACCAGAAGCGAAGGCGGCUCACUGGCCCAAUACUGACGCUGAGGCGCGAAAGCGUGGGGAGCAAACAGG